rnacentral:rRNA from 1 species
UUAACCAUACGAAUUCCGGGUAGACUAUUUAGCUUGGGGACCGGAAGAAGUUAGAGGUACUCCUGGGGUAGGGGUGAAAUCCUGUAAUCCUGGGGGGACCACCAGUGGCGAAGGCGUCUAACUAGGACGGGUCUGACGGUGAGGGACGAAGCCCUGGGGCGCAAACCGGAUUAGAUACCCGGGUAGUCCAGGGUGUAAACGCUGCUUGCUUGAUGUUAGCUGGGCUCCGAGCUCGGCUAGUGUCGGAGAGAAGUUGUUAAGCAAGCUGCCUAGGAAGUACGGUCGCAAGACUGAAACUUAAAGGAAUCGGCGGGGGAGCACAGCAACGGGUGGAGCCUGCGGUUUAAUUGGAUUCAACGCCGGAAAACUCACCGGGUGCGACAGCAACAUGUAGGUCAGGCUGAAGGUCUUACCUGAAUCGCUGAGAGGAAGG